rnacentral:rRNA from 1 species
AUUGAACGCUGGCGGCAGGCCUAACACAUGCCAGUCGAGCGGAUGAAGGGAGCUUGCUCCUGGAUUCAGCGGCGGACGGGUGAGUAAUGCCUAGGAAUCUGCCUGGUAGUGGGGGAUAACGUCCGGAAACGGGCGCUAAUACCGCAUACGUCCUGAGGGAGAAAGUGGGGGAUCUUCGGACCUCACGCUAUCAGAUGAGCCUAGGUCGGAUUAGCUAGUUGGUGGGGUAAAGGCCUACCAAGGCGACGAUCCGUAACUGGUCUGAGAGGAUGAUCAGUCACACUGGAACUGAGACACGGUACAGACUCCUACGGGGGGCAGCAGUGGGGAAUAUUGGACAAUGGGCGAAAGCCUGAUCCAGCCAUGCCGCGUGUGUGAAGAAGGUCUUCGGAUUGUAAAGCACUUUAAGUUGGGAGGAAGGGCAGUAAGUUAAUACCUUGCUGUUUUGACGUUACCAACAGAAUAAGCACCGGCUAACUUCGUG